UUGACGAGUUGAAGGUAUAGUCUGCGCCCUGGCGAAAGCCAGGGGUAACGUGAAGUUCCGACCUGCACGAAUGGCGUAACGAUGGCCACACUGUCUCCACCCGGGACUCAGUGAAAUUGAAAUCGCGGUGAAGAUGCCGUGUACCCGCGGCUAGACGGAAAGACCCCGUGAACCUUUACUACAGCUUCACACUGGACUUUGACUUAGUUUGUGUAGGAUAGGUGGGAGACUUUGAAGCGGAGGCGUCAGCCUUCGUGGAGUCGUCCUUGAAAUACCACCCUUGCUAUGUUGGGGUUCUAACUUGGGCCCAUUAGCUGGGUUGAGGACAGUGUGUGGUGGGUAGUUUGACUGGGGCGGUCUCCUCCCAAAGAGUAACGGAGGAGUACGAAGGUGCACUCAGCAUGGUCGGAAAUCAUGCAAUGCGUAUAAAGGCAGAAGUGUGCUUGACUGCGAGACCGACGGGUCGAGCAGGGUCGAAAGACGGUCUUAGUGAUCUUGUGGUUCUGAAUGGAAGGGCCAUGACUCAACGGAUAAAAGGUACUCCGGGGAUAACAGGCUGAUACCGCCCAAGAGUUCNNNNNNNNNNAGACAGUUCGGUCCCUAUCUGCCGUGGGCGUUUGAGAUUUGAGAGGAGCUGCUCUCAGUACGAGAGGACCGGAGUGGACGGACCUCUGGUGUUCCGGUUGUCACGCCAGUGGCAUCGCCGGGUAGCUACGUCCGGACGGGAUAACCGCUGAAAGCAUCUAAGCGGGAAGCCCCCCUCGAGAUAAGAUCUCACUAAAUCUCCAAGAUUUCUUAAGGGCCCUCGUAGACUACGAGGUUGAUAGGCGGGAUGUGUAAGCGCUGCGAGGCGUUGAGCUAACCCGUACUAAUUGCCCGUGAGGCUUGACCAU
rnacentral:rRNA from 1 species